rnacentral:sRNA from 1 species
AUUACAGAGUUGCAAAACUCCCUAAACCAUUGUGAACGUUACCUAUACCGUUGCUUCGGCGGGCGGCCCGGGUCCUGCCCGGCGCCCCUCGGCCCCUCGCGGGCGCCCGCCGGAGGAAAACCAAACUAUUGCAUUGUAUGGCCUCUCUGAGUCUUCUGUACUGAAUAAGUCAAAACUUUCAACAACGGAUCUCUUGGUUCUGGCAUCGAUGAAGAACGCAGCGAAAUGCGAUAAGUAAUGUGAAUUGCAGAAUUCAGUGAAUCAUCGAAUCUUUGAACGCACAUUGCGCCCGCCAGUAUUCUGGCGGGCAUGCCUGUUCGAGCGUCAUUUCAACCAUCAAGCCCCCGGCUUGUGUUGGGGACCUGCGGCUGCCGCAGGCCCUGAAAACCAGUGGCGGGCUCGCUGUCACUCCGAGCGUAGUAGUUUACAUCUCGCUCAGGGCGUGCUGCGGGUUCCGGCCGUUAAAAGCCUUAUUUUACCCAAGGUUGACCUCGGAUCAGGUAGGAAGACCCGCUGAACUUAAGCAUAUCAAUAAGCGGAGGAAAAGAAACCAACAGGGAUUGCCCUAGUAACGGCGAGUGAAGCGGCAACAGCUCAAAUUUGAAAUCUGGCUUCGGCCCGAGUUGUAAUUUGCAGAGGAAGCUUUAGGCGCGGCACCAACUGAGUCCCCUGGAACGGGGCGCCACAGAGGGUGAGAGCCCCGUAUAGUUGGACGCUAAGCCUGUGUAAAGCUCCUUCGACGAGUCGAGUAGUUUGGGAAUGCUGCUCAAAAUGGGAGGUAAAUUUCUUCUAAAGCUAAAUACCGGCCAGAGACCGAUAGCGCACAAGUAGAGUGAUCGAAAGAUGAAAAGCACUUUGAAAAGAGGGUUAAAUAGCACGUGAAAUUGUUGAAAGGGAAGCGCUUGUGACCAGACUUGCGCCCGGCUGAUCAUCCGGUGUUCUCACCGGUGCACUCUGCCGGGCUCAGGCCAGCAUCGGUUCUCGCGGGGGGAUAAAGGCCCUGGGAACGUAGCUCCUCCGGGAGUGUUAUAGCCCAGGGUGUAAUGCCCUCGCGGGGACCGAGGUUCGCGCAUCUGCAAGGAUG